ACUUGUGCUAACUGAGCUGAGACUUGACUGGCUAGUUGCAGUCAACAAUUAUGUAAUACUGAACACCCUAUGUUACAUUUCCUCAGUGAUGGACUCUAAUAUCGGUGUAUGUCUCAAACUGAGAUCAGGUUGUUUUCUGGGAAAAACACUAAUGGCAUCUCUAGUAUGUGCGUCUGUGACACUGUACCAAGUGUUUGGAGACUGAAUAUAAUCGUAUACAAUGAAAUAAUGACUACUUCAACAAAAAUUAUUACCACAUACUACCACACAAACACCGUUGCUUAAAAUGUGAGCUCACAGUUCUCUUGUGUGUCAGAAUAUUGUUAAAAUAAUACUUUGUGUGGGGGUCGUGUCUUUUUCAAAUGUGCCGGUCUCCAUCUCUGAGCGAUAUUGAUUGGAGCACUGGACCUAAAGGGACCAGACUAACGUCACACUGCCAGAAUCACAGCCAGAUAUCUCAAGUUGUCACAAUAACACAGACACAAAUAACAUGCCACUUCCACCAUGAACUGUGGUGGCAGUCACACAUGAGUGAGUGAUGAGAUGUCAUGCGCCCAUGGGAUUUUUUUUAAUGAGCUCCAUGUAGGCCCAGAGUGAACCACAAGCAGGGUCAUGUGAACAAUCAUCCACAGGAUUUUGCAUCUAUAUACAACAAGUAGGUUAAUGACUGGACCAGUGAGGCUCUUAUGGGUACAACACAUUUAAGUGAAACAUGGACUUAUCCUCUGGGUCCAUUAAGAAUUUCAUGUGUUUCAUGUGUUUUACGCAGAAUUUACAAGAAGUCAUACGGCUUCUUG
rnacentral:misc_RNA from 1 species